GAAAGUAGGAAAGGGCGUAUGGCGGAUGCCUAGGCUCUCACAGGCGAUGAAGGACGUGAUAAGCUGCGAUAAGCCGCGGGUAGGUGCAAAUGACCAUUGAUCCGCGGAUUUCCGAAUGGGACAACCCGGCAUGUUGAAGACAUGUCAUCAUCCAUAUGGAUGAAGCGAACGCGGGGAACUGAAACAUCUUAGUACCCGCAGGAAGAGAAAAUAAACGAAUGAUUGCGCAAGUAGUGGCGAGCGAACGCGCAAGAGCCCAAACCAAUGAGGUUCCGGCCUCAUUGGGGUUGUAGGACUGCCGUGACGGCAUGCACAAGAAGCGAGGAGAAGCAACUGGAAAGCUGCACCACAGAGAGUGACAGUCUCGUAUCCGAAGCCCCUUGGCACCAGGCAGUAUCCUGAGUAGCGCGGAACACGUGGAAUUCUGCGUGAAUCAGCGGGGACCAUCCCGCAAGGCUAAAUACUCGUGAGAGACCGAUAGCGAACCAGUACCGUGAGGGAAAGGUGAAAAGCACCUCGAGCAGAGGAGUGAAAGAGACCCUGAAACCAUACGCCUACAAGCGGUUGGAGCACCCAUGAGGUGUGACAGCGUGCCUUUUGCAUAAUGAACCUACGAGUUACCAUCACUGGCAAGGUUAAGAGACAAGAGUCUUGUAGCCGCAGGGAAACCAAGUCUGAACAGGGCGCCACAGUCAGUGGGGGUAGACGCGAAACCGAGUGAUCUACACAUGGCCAGGUUGAAGUUCCGGUAACACGGAAUGGAGGACCGAACGAAUAAGCGUUGAAAAGCUUCUCGAUGAGCUGUGUGUAGGAGUGAAAGGCCAAUCAAACUCGGAGAUAGCUCGUACUCCCCGAAAGGCAUUUAGGUGCCGCCUCGGUUGUUCCUCUUGUCAGGUAGAGCGACUGAUUGGAUGCGAGGGCUUCACCGCCUAUCAAGUCCAGACAAACUCCGAAUGGGCAAGAGCCAAGACCGGGAGUAAGGGCACGGGUGCUAAGGUCCGUGCCCGAGAGGAGAAGAAUCCAGACCAUCAGCUAAGGCCCCCAAAUACAUGUUAAGUUAGACUAACGAAGUCCGGCCCCCAAGACAGCUAGGAUGUUGGCUUGGAAGCAGCCAUUCAUUCAAAGAGUGCGUAACAGCUCACUAGUCGAGGAGCUGGGCGUGGAUAAUAAUCGGGUAUGAAACAUGUUGCCGAAGCUAUGGGAUCAUUCAAUGAUCGGUAGGGGAGCAUUCCAUUUGCCUUGAAGGCGGCAGACGACUGCCGCUGGAGCAUAUGGAAAAGCAAAUGUAGGUAUAAGUAACGAUAAAGGGGGUGAGAUGCCCCCUCGCCGCAAGACCAAGGUUUCCAGGGCGACGUUAAUCGUCCCUGGGUCAGUCGGGACCUAAGGAUAAGACAAGAGUCGAGGCCGAUGGCAGAAACGGUUAAUAUUCCGUUACUGGAUAUGCGCGUGACGUGGAGACACAGGAGUGACACAGCCGCCCCCUGACGGAAUAGGGGGUUAAAGGACGUAAGCUAUGAGGCGUGCAGGCAAACCCACACGCCGAGCCGAAAUCCGACAGUACUGCAACACCUUCGGGUAGCGCAGACAGCGCUGGUAAUCAGACUGUCAAGAAAAUCCGCUAAACUGCAACGCAUAUCCACCCGUACCGUAAACGGACACACGUGGUCGGGUUGAGUAUACUAAGGCGCUUGGGAGAUUCACGGUUAAGGAACUAGGCAAACUAACCCCGUAACUUCGGGAGAAGGGGUCCUCCGGCGACGGAGGCGCAGCGAAUAGGUCCAGGCAACUGUUUAACAAAAACACAGGGCUGUGCAAAUUCGAGAGAAGAAGUAUACAGUCUGACACCUGCCCGGUGCCGGAAGGUUAAGAGGAGAUGUCAGGAGCAAUCCGAAGCAUUGAAUUGAAGCCCCGGUAAACGGCGGCCGUAACUAUAACGGUCCUAAGGUAGCGAAAUUCCUUGUCGGG
rnacentral:rRNA from 1 species